ACGAUGACUCCAGCUUGCUGGGGGGAUUAGUGGCGAACGGGUGAGUAACACGUGAGUAACCUGCCCUUAACUCUGGGAUAAGCCUGGGAAACUGGGUCUAAUACUGGAUAUUGACUUUUCCUCGCAUGGGGUUUGGUUGAAAGCUUUAGUGGUUUUGGAUGGACUCGCGGCCUAUCAGCUUGUUGGUGAGGUAAUGGCUCACCAAGGCGACGACGGGUAGCCGGCCUGAGAGGGUGACCGGCCACACUGGGACUGAGACACGGCCCAGACUCCUACGGGAGGCAGCAGUGGGGAAUAUUGCACAAUGGGCGAAAGCCUGAUGCAGCGACGCCGCGUGAGGGAUGACGGCCUUCGGGUUGUAAACCUCUUUCAGUAGGGAACAAGGCCACACGUUGUGUGGUUGAGGGUACUUGCAGAAGAAGCACCGGCUAACUACGUGCCAGCAGCCGCGGUAAUACGUAGGGUGCAAGCGUUAUCCGGAAUUAUUGGGCGUAAAGAGCUCGUAGGCGGUUUGUCGCGUCUGCCGUGAAAGUCCGGGGCUCAACCCCGGAUCUGCGGUGGGUACGGGCAGACUAGAGUGAUGUAGGGGAGACUGGAAUUCCUGGUGUAGCGGUGAAAUGCGCAGAUAUCAGGAGGAACACCGAUGGCGAAGGCAGGUCUCUGGGCAUUAACUGACGCUGAGGAGCGAAAGCAUGGGGAGCGAACAGGAUUAGAUACCCUGGUAGUCCAUGCCGUAAACGUUGGGCANCUAGUGUGGGGACAUUCCACGUUUUCCGCGCCGUAGCUAACGCAUUAAGUGCCCGCCUGGGGAGUACGGCCGCAAGGCUAAAACUCAAAGGAAUUGACGGGGGCCCGCACAAGCGGCGGAGCAUGCGGAUUAAUUCGAUGCAACGCGAAGAACCUUACCAAGGCUUGACAUAAACUGGAAACGCUUGGAAACAAGUGCCCCGCUUGCGGUCGGUUUACAGGUGGUGCAUGGUUGUCGUCAGCUCGUGUCGUGAGAUGUUGGGUUAAGUCCCGCAACGAGCGCAACCCUCGUUCUAUGUUGCCAGCACGUAAUGGUGGGGACUCAUAGGAGACUGCCGGGGUCAACUCGGAGGAAGGUGAGGACGACGUCAAAUCAUCAUGCCCCUUAUGUCUUGGGCUUCACGCAUGCUACAAUGGCCGGUACAAUGGGUUGCGAUACUGUGAGGUGGAGCUAAUCCCAAAAAGCCGGUCUCAGUUCGGAUUGGGGUCUGCAACUCGACCCCAUGAAGUCGGAGUCGCUAGUAAUCGCAGAUCAGCAACGCUGCGGUGAAUACGUUCCCGGGCCUUGUACACACCGCCCGUCAAGUCACGAAAGUUGGUAACACCCGAAGCCGGUGGCCUAACCC
rnacentral:rRNA from 1 species